UAUACAAACAACCUAAGCAGCAAGGAGCGGCCCAGCACUCCGCGCUGUGGAUCCCCGGAGGAAGUGGUUUAUUUGGACUGAGGGUGGAGUGUUCUGUCUGCAUAUUUGCCUGCACACCAGAAGAGGGACCAGAUCUUAUGAUAGAUGGUUGUGAGUCACCAUGUGGUUCCUGGGAAUUGAAUUCAGGACUUCCGGAAGAGCAGCCAAUGCUCUUAACCUCUGAGCCAUCUCCCGAGCCCAAGGUCCUGGGAUGUGCUUCUCUCAGCCUGGUCUUCUAGCCUUAUGCUGUGAAAAGCCAUCCCUGUUAGUAACACUCAGGGCCAUGCCGCUCAGACACACCCUUCUCAGUCCAGGAGUGGACCCAGCGGCUGAAGGACAUAGGCUGCUGGCUCACCAGAAGAAAGGAAUCCUUCCAGAACCACACCUCCAAACCCAGAGGCCAGAAGCAGAUGGCAGCAGCAGAUAAGUGCAGGGGGUUCACUUGUCAGGGCUCUGACCGCGUCUGGGAGGGAUCAGCUGGGACAAGGGGCGUGUUCUUCUGCCACAGGCUGUUCCUGGUGUGUUGUGGAACGAGGCCGGGCAGAGGCAGCAGUACACGGUGUUCUGCAGGAAGGCAGGCAGGCUGCGAUGUGAGGAACUGAUUGUCCAGGCUUCAAAAGACCAAAUAAAUAAGCCGAUAAAUGAACCAUGAACCACCGAAGAGCCCUGAGCCACCAAAGAGAGGAAGAACGGUCCUCAGUCAAACCAAACUUUCUGAGGAGGAAGGGCUGGCCUUCUCAGCUCUGUUGUUGCUUUAGAAGCAGCUGAGGAGUUGACUGCCCCUGCAACUCUCCCAGGGCAACGCUGGCUGUCCCUGCACCUUUCAGAAAGGGAAAUAGUCCCUUCAUCUGAGCCAGGGCCACCAGCUCUGCGGUGAGGACCAAUUCUCUAUGUUGAAGGUCAGGUUUCUACUCUGAGUUGAAAGAAUAACUGGAAAGGCAGGCGUCUGGGAGACUCCUGCCACCGGUUGCUACCCACGUGAUAGCUGAUGGUGACUGGGGGGCAGUGGGCUGUGAAAUGUGCCAUCUGAAGUCAGAGCGGACUUGAGUUUGAACACCACCCCCUCUGCUUACCAGCUGCUUUACCCUGGGAGAGGCCAGGCUUCCGAACCACACCCAUCUGGAGAGUUUAACUGGCUCAGUCUUUGCAAGUUUCUUUUGAAUAGUCCCAGCUGCUGAGAAUUCAAGGUGAGGGCCUUGUCAUGCCUAGAGGACAGAGUUCCUAGCAGAUGGCACAUUGCAAUGCAUUCAAAAGGUGCUUAUUAAGUGCCCCAUAAUCCUCUAGUAACAGGAAGGGCUGUUAUUAUCAGUUUCUUGUGUAAGUGACUUCUCCCUGAAUAAAAUUAACCUAUGAUGAUGGUGGUGGUGAUGACAUGAGACUUGAGUAGAAGCCACUGUGAGCUUGAGGGACCAAACAAUGAGCAACGGGUGGCAUAAGAUGUCCUGAUCCAGGUAGCCACUUCUGUUACUGCCUAUCCAUUUUCAGAAGCCUUCAAUAGAAUUUAGUUUUUGUUUUUCUUUUUUGAGACAGGGGUUUUCUGUAGCUUUGGAGGCUGUCCUGGAACUAACUCUUGUAGACCAGGCCGGCCUCGAACUCACAGAGAUCUGCCUGCCUCUGUCUCCUGAGUGCUGGGAUUGAAGGCGUGCUCCACCACUGUCUGGCUCCUUCAAUAGAAUUUUAAAAACUUUUAUUAUGAG
ensembl:lncRNA